rnacentral:rRNA from 1 species
ACGGUUACCUUGUUACGACUUAGCCCCAGUCACCGAUUUCGCUCUAGGGCGCGCCUCGCGGCGACGCACUUCAAGCGCCCUCGGCUCCCAUGGCUUGACGGGCGGUGUGUACAAGGCCCGGGAACGUAUUCACCGCGCCAUGGCUGAUGCGCGAUUACUAGCGAAUCCAGCUUCACGGAGUCGGGUUGCAGACUCCGAUCCGAACUGAGAGUGGAUUUCGGGUUCCGCUCGGCGUCGCCGCCUGGCUUCCCGCUGUACCACCCAUUGUAACACGUGUGUCGCCCCGGACGUAAGGGCCGUGCUGAUUUGACGUCAUCCCCGCCUUCCUCGCGGCUUGCGCCGGCAGUCCGUGCAGAGUCCUCAGCGUUAUCUGUUAGCAACUGCACGCGGGGGUUGCGCUCGUUAUGGCACUUAAGCCGACACCUCACGGCACGAGCUGACGACAACCAUGCAGCACCUCGGGGAGUGUCCCGUGGGAAACAGGCGUCUCUGCCUGAGUCACUCCCCGUUUGAGCCCGGGUAAAGUUCCUCGCGUAUCAUCGAAUUAAACAGCAUGUUCCUCCGCUUGUGCGGGCCCCCGUCAAUU